UGAGUCCGCCGGGCGACCGCUGCGAGCGAUCGCAGAGGAAAGUCCGGACUCCGCAGGGCAAGGUGCUGGGUAAUCCCCAGGCGGCGCGAGCCGAUGGACAGUGCAGCAGAAAGCAAACCGCCAACGCCGCAAGGCACGGUAAGGGUGAAACGGUGGUGUAAGAGACCACCAGCGGGUCGGGUGACCGGCCCGGCUAGGUAAACCCCACCUGGAGCAAGACCACGCAGGGACGACGGCUGCCCGCCGGUUGAGUCCCGGGUAGGUCGCAUGAGGCCGUUCGGCAACGACGGUCCCAGAUAGAUGGUCGCCGCGACCUUCGGGUCGUACAGAAUCCGGCUUACAGGCGAACUCACCAC
rnacentral:RNase_P_RNA from 1 species